GUGCGUAGCGGAGGCCUAACACAUGCAAGUCGAGGGGUAACAUAGUAGCUUGCUACUGAUGACGACCGGCGCACGGGUGCGUAACGCGUAUGCAACCUACCUCUUACUGGGGGAUAGCCUCUGGAAACGGAGAUUAAUACCCCAUAGUAUCAUUUGUCCUCCUGGAUUUUUGAUUAAAGGUUACGGUAAGAGAUGGGCAUGCGUCCUAUUAGCUAGACGGUGUGGUAACGGCACACCAUGGCAACGAUAGGUAGGGGCCCUGAGAGGGGGAUCCCCCACACUGGUACUGAGACACGGACCAGACUCCUACGGGAGGCAGCAGUGAGGAAUAUUGGACAAUGGGCGGAAGCCUGAUCCAGCCAUGCCGCGUGCAGGAAGACUGCCCUAUGGGUUGUAAACUGCUUUUGUACGGGAAGAAACACUCCUACGUGUAGGAGCUUGACGGUACCGUAAGAAUAAGCAUCGGCUAACUCCGUGCCAGCAGCCGCGGUAAUACGGAGGAUGCAAGCGUUAUCCGGAAUCAUUGGGUUUAAAGGGUCCGUAGGUGGAUUGGUCAGUCAGAGGUGAAAUCCUGCAGCUUAACUGUAGAACUGCCUUUGAUACUGCUGAUCUUGAGUCAUUGUGAAGUAGUUAGAAUAUGUAGUGUAGCGGUGAAAUGCAUAGAUAUUACAUAGAAUACCGAUUGCGAAGGCAGAUUACUAACAAUGUACUGACACUGAUGGACGAAAGUGUGGGGAGCGAACGGGAUUAGAUACCCCGGUAGUCCACGCCGUAAACGAUGGAUACUAGCUGUGCGGCUUCGGCUGUGUGGCUAAACGAAAGUGAUAGUAUCCCACCUGGGGAGUACGUUCGCAAGAUGAAACUCAAUGAGUGACGG
rnacentral:rRNA from 1 species